rnacentral:lncRNA from 1 species
AACCCGUGCAGCUCUACAGGGUCUAUGUUUGCAGCUGAAGUUCGCAGAAAGCAAAUCCAAUUAGUGUCGUGCGCUCCAGAGCCAUCUCAAGUGACGUUUCGUGUCUUUCAGAAACGGGCAUGCAGAAGAGUAGAAGCAGCCAGCACAGAGUGGGGCUGUGCCCCCGCGAAGCUCAGCACCCUGGUGUCCUGGAGCGGCGAGGGGCUGCCACGUGUGGGGGGGCAUCUUAACCACACCGAGAGCCAGUAAGAGGUGCCAGCUGGAAGGUUCUGUCCAUGUGCCAACGAGGGUCGCCCUCAGGAUGGACCUGGGCGCCCACCUGUUCAAAUCGCAGCCCCAUGUCCCCUGGUUCAGGAGAUCCCACCGCCUGCCACGUGAGAGCCAGGAGGACCCCAUCACCUCAGAGGAGCCUUCAAACUGUUGUCCCCCACACACCUUUCAGAUGUAUCUUUCUUGACAAGGAAAUCGUUUGAAUCAUUUAAAAGUUUAAAAAAAAGGUCCAUAUCAGAUUUCCUGUGAGGUUUGAGAACGUGCGUCCUCUGGAACCGUAUCCGGAUGUAGCCCUGCUUUCCUAAUUUCCAGGUGUUUUGUGGACUGAUCAGAGCUGCUUAUGUAUUCUUUUUUAAUUAAAAGACUUAUUUUUAUAUUUAAAAUGCUCUAUUAUCUUAAACUGAGUUUUACUAAAUGCUGGUAUCCAAUCUGUUCUGUGUAAUUCCCCAAAUGAAGUUAUCAGGCACAAGGUCUCUUUUAUAUUAAAAUGGAAAUGUCUCAUUUCUCUUGGGUUUCC